rnacentral:rRNA from 1 species
UAAACGAUGAGUGCUAGGUGUUAGGCCCUUUCCGGGGCUUAGUGCCGGAGCUAACGCAAUAAGCACUCCGCCUGGGGAGUACGACCGCAAGGUUGAAACUCAAAGGAAUUGACGGGGGCCCGCACAAGCGGUGGAGCAUGUGGUUUAAUUCGAAGCAACGCGAAGAACCUUACCAGGUCUUGACAUCCCGAUGCUAUUCUUAGAGAUAGGAAGUUACUUCGGUACAUCGGAGACAGGUGGUGCAUGGUUGUCGUCAGCUCGUGUCGUGAGAUGUUGGGUUAAGUCCCGCAACGAGCGCAACCCUUAUUGUUAGUUGCCAUCAUUAAGUUGGGCACUCUAGCGAGACUGCCGGUAAUAAACCGGAGGAAGGUGGGGAUGACGUCAAAUCAUCAUGCCCCUUAUGACCUGGGCUACACACGUGCUACAAUGGUCGGUACAACGAGUUGCGAGCCGGUGACGGCAAGCUAAUCUCUGAAAGCCGAUCUCAGUUCGGAUUGGAGGCUGCAACUCGUCUCCAUGAAGUCGGAAUCGCUAGUAAUCGCGGAUCAGCACGCCGCGGUGAAUACGUUCCCGGGCCUUGUACACACCGCCCGUCACACCACGAGAGUUUGUAACACCCGAAGUCGGUGAGGUANCCUUUUAGGGGCCAGCCG